AGAAGUCGCAGCAUCAAUUCGGGGGGGCUCUCACCGUGCCCCCCCCUUAAUAUUUAACCCCUCCCCGUUAAUAUUUUGUGCCCCCCCCUAAUUUUUUGUUUCCCCCAUCCCUCCAGGCCGCACUGCGCCGCGCCAGCGCCAUCCUGCGCAGCCAGAAGCCGGUGGUGGUGAAGAAGAAGAGGGCGCGCGCUGCGAAGGCUCCUUAAAAAGCCCAAUAAAAAUCUGCUUUGACCCCCCCCCUGCCUCCAUUUCUUCCCGGGGGGGGCACCAACAGGUGCCCCCCCCCCCCCCCCCUCACCAAGCCUCCCGAUCUCCCCUCCAGCCCUGGGGAGGGCAGUUUUGGGGGUGGGGAUUGGGGUUAAAGAGGAACGGGGAGAAAAUCUGAUGAAAAGGGCUCAAAGUUGAGAUAAGGACAAGGAUGGGUAAAACAGACUCAGCAUACGGAGACAGUAAGAUUUAUUGCUAAUUACUAACGAGCCAGAGAAGUGAGAAACGAAGGAAAUAAACCAAAAGCCCCUUCCUCCCCCCUCCAACCACCCUCUUUCCACCUUCUCCCGUGAGUGGUGCAGGGGAACGGGGAAAUUCUUCGAGAUCCUUCUCACAGAAACCCCCCCUAUGGCCCCCUGCUCCCAAACCCUUGCCACAUAAACCCACCGCAUUCCACCCCUGGCCUCUGUUAAAAGCAUAUUUCAGAUUAAUCACAAUAUAUUCUACAAUUAUCACAACCUUCACAAACUUCACUUACAUCAAAAAGAAAACACCAAAUAAACCAUACCAAAAUAAACCUCACAGCACUGACAAGGGGGACAUCUUACACACCCCACCCCUCCUCCCUUCAUCACGCUCAAAUGAAACAGAUUUCUCACAGUUGCUGCUUAAAUUCGUCACGAUUUGUACAUUCCUAACAAUCAUCCUGUCCAUAUUUUGCCCGUUCCUUCUAUCAACUAUCAUCUUUAUCUCAAAUUCCUCAAGCCUCACGUCCCGUAUCAGGCAGAAGGAGCAUGGACCCUCCGUGUUCGCUCUUUCUGAGUAACCCUAAACAUAGCCUUACUUGGCAUCGGAAAUCUAACCCUAACCCUUAAUCCUAACCCUAACCCUUAAACCUAACUCUAACCCUAACACUAACCCUAACCCUAAACAUAACCCUAAUGACGGAUCUAACCCUAGCACUCACCUUCCCUCAGUGCUUCGUGACGAGCAUUUCCCUUCCCUGUCCACGGCUGCACAAAGCACCUGCAAAGACAGGAGAAAAGAACAUUCUGAGGCACCUCACAGCCACAGCGUUCCUGCUGCAAUGCCUCUCUCUUCCCAGCUCCGGUACUUCAGCUGCUCACCAGCUCUAACAGAGAUUCUUCGCUCACAGCGCCACGGCAAACUCUGCCCGGGCCACACAACACGCUGCACAAGCUACAUUGCUU
rnacentral:lncRNA from 1 species